GAUGAACGCUGGCGGCGUGCCUAAUACAUGCAAGUCGAGCGAACAGACGAGGAGCUUGCUCCUCUGACGUUAGCGGCGGACGGGCGAGUAACACGUGGAUAACCUACCUAUAAGACUGGGAUAACUUCGGGAAACCGGAGCUAAUACCGGAUAAUAUAUUGAACCGCAUGGUUCAAUAGUGAAAGACGGUUUUGCUGUAACUUAUAGAUGGAUCCGCGCCGCAUUAGCUAGUUGGUAAGGUAACGGCUUACCAAGGCAACGAUGCGUAGCCGACCUGAGAGGGGGAGCGGCCACACUAAAACUUAGACCCGGGUCAGAACCCAGAGGGAGGCAGCAGUAGGGAAUCAUCCGAAAGGGGCGAAAACCUAACAGAGCAACGCCGCGUGAGUAAAAAAGGUCUUCGGAUCGAAAAACUCUUUUAUUAGGAAAAAACAAAUGUGUAAGUAACAAUGCGCGUAUGGAGGGUACUAAAAAAAAAAGCCAAGGCUAACUACG
rnacentral:rRNA from 1 species